rnacentral:tRNA from 2 species
GCGCUUGUAGCUUAAAUGGUAGCAGCACCGCACUUUUAAUGCGGGGGUUAAGGGUUCAAAUCCCUUCGGGCGCA